UGUUAUUCCAACCAGCUUAAAAGCAUGUUAAAAGGCAGGCUAUAGAAUACGUAUUCUAUGGCUCUGUUAAAAGGUAUAAAACUUAGGUAUAAAACGCUGGGAACCACAAAGAUCGUGAUUAUUUGUAGGUUAUUUCCACAUCAAUCACAGUGUAAAGGAAACAACGCCAACACUACAAAAAAAAACAUUAGAAAAGAGAAGAUCGAGUUGAAAACCGAGUAAAACCUCUACCCAACCAUCAUAUGUGUCGAGUCCAUCUUCCUGCCCUGCCUUGUAAGUUGACGCAGGCUGCUUCCCGGAAAGUUAAUGGUUUCAAGUAACAGUGGCCGUGUCACUCCCUUUUCCACUGAAUAAGAAUAGAAGAGAGGGCAUCUACAUUUUCAUUGAGCGUGAAACCGUAACCGUGGACGUUAGCAAACAUAAUUUGAUAGCGCUGCUGCUGGAAUCAGAUCCGUUUUGGAUUUGACAGCAGAUAGACGCAGUACCUAUUUUGAAGACUUAAAAAUGGUUUUUUUACGGGGAUAUCCGACAGAAGAUGAAGGUUUCCUUAUCCAAGCAAUUAAUUUGUAGCUGCUGCGGUCAUUCAAGCGAUUCCAUUCAACAUUCCACAUCGCAUUAUUCUCUUAUCUUAAAUAGAAAAAAAAAAUAUUCCAUCAUUGCUGCAUUAAAAAGACUACCAUCGUUUCAUUUUAACGUUAAUUAGGCAUAUGUCAAUAAAAGCAUUGUUUUUCCCCCCUUUUUUUGUGAAAAAUUCCGUCUGACCCUGAUGUAAUCGCACAAGUCAAGAGCUCUAGAACCAAAAGAAAGCCAGUCGACGAAUAAGCGGAAUGGGUCACCUUGCAUUAGUCAUUCUAGCAUUCCGUGCGCAAAGUCACGUCCUUGGAGUUCGCUAUCUCUGCCCGCUUUAAAUAGAUGACUUUUGUAAACAAUGUUGCGGCAGACUGUCUGACGUGACUUAUCAAGCAGGUUUGUCAUCUUACUUCUUUGGUUCCAAGUACUUUACAUAAACAUAUUCUAGUUCUAGUUCUUAAAAAAUACUUCAAUAAGGCAUAUAAUUACUUUCAACUUGGCGACUCAAAAUCAAUAGGGAGAAAAUUGCUUUACCGAGAUUGCUGUCGUAAAAUCCUAUAGAAUAACUAUUACUAAAAGCCAGGUAAGUACAAUUAAUAAGCUAAUACCAAUUGGACGUCUAGGAAAGUAUCACUAAAUAAUCUUGGGUUUCUUGAGUUUUGUCUGGACAGUUGCUGCAUUCUGGCAAGAAAAUUUUUGAUUUUAGACAAUUGAAACAAUGCCAAGAAUAAGCUAAAGCUAUUCUGAAUCACAACAUAAUAUGCUUUGAAGAUCAAGCUAUAAAGUCUUGAUAAACUGGAUAUUUGAUGGUAUUUAUAGCUUAUUGGAAAAGAAAAUGCCGGAACUUGGUAUUGUCAUCGCUUUUUCACCUAUACACGAGUUGGUAUGUUGGUAAAAAAAACCUUACAUAAAAUAAAAAUUUAAUUAGUAUUAACUGUGUAACUUGUUGCGAGCAAAAAAACACUUUCGCGACCAUCUGUAUUUUCAAAUGCAUUUCAUAUGUAAAUUUUUGGCAACACAUCUAAUUUGCCGAAACAUAAAUCCGAUAAGCCCUUGGAUUUGAACAAAAGAAUGACAAAACGUAGUACAUGAGAAACCCGCAGACAACAAAAAUACAUGGAAUUACUUGAUA